rnacentral:sRNA from 1 species
CUCAACCGCAAGGAGGGGGAUGCCUAAGGCAGGGCUAGUGACUGGGGUGAAGUCGUAACAAGGUAGCCGUACCGGAAGGUGUGGCUGGAUCACCUCCUUAAAGGGAGACCUAAUUCCGGUAGGAGACGAAAAAAAAGUAGUCCCAACCAAGAAUCAAUCCCAAAAGGUCGGAGCGAGGCGAAAUUGGCUUUCAAACUAGGUUCUGGGUUCACACAAGACCUGAAUCAGGAACAAGGGCUAUUAGCUCAGGUGGUUAGAGCGCACCCCUGAUAAGGGUGAGGUCCCUGGUUCGAGUCCAGGAUGGCCCACCUGCACAGGUGGCAAAAACAAAGAAGCGAGGAAUCAGCACCUUAUCUUACUGACAUAGUAAGAGAGAAUGCUGGCUCUGAGUAAAGAGUCCAGAGGAACCUUGAAAACUGCAUAGAGCUAGGUGAAAAAGCCAAAAAAGAAGACCGCAAGGUCAAGCUAAUAAGGGCUAACGGUG